AGACAGCAGCAGCCACGGGAAUACGUAGGGUGCGAGCGUUAAUCGGAAUUACUGGGCGUAAAGCGUGCGCAGGCGGUCCUAUAAGACAGAUGUGAAAUCCCCGGGCUCAACCUGGGAACUGCAUUUGUGACUGUAGAGCUGGAGUGCGGCAGAGGGGGGUGGAAUUCCGCGUGUAGCAGUGAAAUGCGUAGAUAUGCGGAGGAACACCGAUGGCGAAGGCAAUCCCCUGGGCCUGCACUGACGCUCAUGCACGAAAGCGUGGGGAGCAAACAGGAUUAGAUACCCCAGUAGUCCCUGUCUCUUAUAC
rnacentral:rRNA from 1 species